rnacentral:rRNA from 1 species
AAGGUAGCAUAAUAAUUAGUUUUUUAAUUGAAAGCUGGAAUGAAUGGUUGGAUAAGGAAUUUACUGUCUCUUUUUUAAUUUAUAGAAUUUUAUUUUUAAGUAAGAAAGCUUAAAUUUGCCUAAAAGACGAGAAGACCCUAUAGAGUUUUAUAAUUUUUUUUUAAAUUUAUGUUUAGAAUUCUUUUUUGUUAAAAAAAUAUUAUUAGAUUGGGGUGAUUAAAAAAUUGAUUUAACUUUUUUUUUAUUUUUACACUUAUUUGUGAUUUUUUGAUCUUAUUGUUUUGAUUAUAAGAUUAAAUUACCUUAGGGAUAACAGCGUUAUUUUUUUUGAGAGUUCUAAUCGAAAAAAAAGUUUGCGACCUCGAUGUUGGAUUAAAAUUAAUUUUUGGUGUAGAAGCUGAGAAAUUAGGUCUGUUCGACCUUUAAAAUUUUACGUGAUCUGAGUUCA